AAAAUACACCUCUCUGUUUAACUAUUCGAAUGUCCAAACCUACCAUGAGUAACCAGUAACUUCUUUGCACUGAUCUGUAAGCACUUCUCAAAUGAUCGCUUGAUAGAGGUUAUCAACUAACUCUCCCAAGUCCCAAUCAUUGUCCCCAAGCAGAGGCCCCGAGGUUGAUAAUGCUAUUAAUUGGGUCAAACAGCUGAGGUUGCAGCUGGUGCUGCUGUUCCUCCUGUUGUUGC
rnacentral:misc_RNA from 1 species